GACAGAGGAUGCAAGCGUUAUCCGGAAUGAUUGGGCGUAAAGCGUCUGUAGGUGGCUUUUUUUAAGUCCGCCGUCAAAUCCCAGGGCUCAACCCUGGACAGGCGGUGGAAACUACCAAGCUGGAGUACGGUAGGGGCAGAGGGAAUUUCCGGUGGAGCGGUGAAAUGCGUAGAGAUCGGAAAGAACACCAACGGCGAAGGCAAUGUUCUGGCUCGUUUUCUGACGCUCAGGUGCGAAAGCCAGGGAGCGAACGGG
rnacentral:rRNA from 1 species